GGUAGAGGAUCUGGUUCCCUCCCUGACGGCCUCCGCCUUCUCCCUCUCGCCCAGAGCAGGGCGGCCGGCGCGCCCCCCCUCUUCUCCCCACCCGACGCUGGUGCCGGCCGCCCGAGCACCUCCCCGUCCGCCCGCGCCUCGAGCCGCCGCCGGUGCUCCUCCUGUCGCCCUCCCCGCUCACCUCCGGCGCAGCUCGUUGUAGUGAAGAGCUAUUAUUUGGCGGCGGCAAGGAGAAGGGCGCCGAGGAGGUGACGCCGGCCGGCGUCGUGCCUCCCUGCAUCGUCGCCUCCGACCUCACCAUGUAGCUCCUGUGACGAGUAAUGGGGAUGGAAAAUUAUCAACAAUGGGGUGUGCAUUCGCUGCUGUUACGGUGUUUUCUUUGACGCUGCCGCUCCUGGAGCACCAGCUCGAUUUUUUCUCAUACUGCUGUUCCCCGAGCACCAGCACAAGGCGAAAUUUUUGCAGGCCGUCUUGUUCAACACCCGCAGGUGAGCGCUCAGGCCUGGGUUUGUAUUGUUCUCGGCUUGAGUAUAUGGGACUCGAACUGUGAUGGAUAUCAUGUGAGGAAAGAAGGUUUAGUAUGCAAUUAUGGUGUACACCAGAGAAACAUGUGUGUUUUUCCCUAUGAAGACAUCUACUUCUUCAGAUAAUUGAUGUUUCUGUACUAACCAUCAUCAAAUAAGGUGAGAGUACUUUAGGGUUGAGUAAAUGUUUCAGUUGGAUGUUGAAUUACCCCAUCAAGAGAAGCUGAACAAAGAAGAGUGUUGUGGUGUUGGCAAAGUCAAAUUUCGCGGCGCCUGCUUCAAACCACACUGGCACCUCUACAGCCAUUUUUGGGAAAUCAAGCGUCCGCACUAUGGUUUCUAUAAAACUGAGAGGAUAUUCAUUUUACCGGCGCUGGCAAGGAGGUCAAGAAGGGAGCAACUUCCAUUGGUUCCAAGGAUGCCGGCGACCCCUGCCAUGGCAAACCGGCAGUGGACGAGCUCGGCCUGGACGUACCACUUCAAGGCCUCAGGCUGCUCCCCGAGCCCCAAGGGACCAAACCCGUAAUCGCCAGGCAGCCUGCAUCCAGAAGCGCCAAGCUAUCCAUCAGCCUAACAACGAACCAUCGCCGCCUGCAGAGAACACCGGCAGAGGUUGCCACAGUUGACUGACGUGCCGUCGAGGUACGCCGGUAGGUCCAGCCCAGACAGCCACGCGCUCCGCGGUGGCUCGGACGGCGAACCGGGCUCGUGACGACUGAACAUUGUGUCCAGGCAUGGUGGUCGUGCUCCUGCUGAAAGGUGUGGGUGGCCUGGAGGAGAGGGUGCAGACUCUUCCAUGGGUGUUAGCUGCUAACGCCAUGACCGCCGCCGUCGGAUUUGGCUGGUUGAUCCCUUGCUCGCCUGACCGCAGCUGGCGAGGGUCCUUCUUGGCUGCAGCUGUUUUGGUUGGGGCGUGUGGGUGGUGCAUCGGACGGAUCAAAAAGCCGUGGAUAUGGAACUAGAGGCGUUCGUACUUCGUAGCUCCAGUGGCUGUCAGAGUCUGCAGCUUGUGUUCUUUUUUGCUUUCCUGAGGGGAUGCAGCUUGUGUGCUGGCCGGAGUGUAUUGAACGGUUAUAAUGCAGCUACCGAACUAGGUAUGCCUAUUUGUGCUUAUGUGAUCUGCGGAAAUUUGCAUUCGUACUAUGAAUCGGCCAGCCUACCUACAACAUUCAGAUGUUGUAUCUGCUCGUUUGGAGAAUAGAGAUGUCUAUGGAACUUGGGAACAGUGUCUUGGGUUGGAGUGAACUGAUACUGCAAUAAAACGGCCUAUACAGCCUAUUAAGUAUGCAGUUGUCUUGCUGGGAGGUGAACAUAUCUAACUUUUGGAUGCCAAGUUUUACCUUUACCCAUGCUUGGGCUUAGAUAUGUCGUACCCAUGCUUCAGGUUCCCCUGAUUCAGGUAGAUCUUAUCUCCAAGGCAAUCUGGAUAGCUUAGCAGUUGAUGGUAGACUUUUCAUCGUUGGUUUCAUGUGAGGCACUGUAAUUAAAGUGAACCUGCAGGCGAUGCUUGCCCAAAGACCGACUGUACAAGCAUCUCGCACAAUGUAUCCAGAGAGAUGCUGCCACUGGUGAUACAUCUGUGCGAAGCCAGAUCCAGAAUGAGUCGACAGAGUUGGGAGUAGCGAUACAACAUCUGGAGGCUAUGCUUUUUGAGCUUGGACGGACAAUGAUGACGCUUAGAAUGGGGCCAUCUCCUGUAUGCAUUUUUCUACUAUGUCACUAUCACACAAGUGAUUCACAAGGUUUAAGUAUUCUGAUAGCUUUUUUAUUUUGUAGGCUAAUGCUUUUGUAAAUGCUAGGCAUGCUGUUUAUACAAACCCCACUGGACCAAGUCCAAUCAUGGUUCAGGCUACCUGUAUAGCUUUGCUUUCCUAUCAUGAACUGCUGUCAACUUUGUUUUGGGCUAUCAUGCUAGCAUGCACUGUAACAUGUAUCACUAUGUAUUAACAUGCUACCUAAGUAUCUAUUUCUUUAUACUUUAAGGAUCUUAUUAUCAGUCCUUAAACAAAUCUUACGUGCAUGAUUUGCAUGCUUGGUUUGUUGUCGCCCUUUGCACCAUCGGCGCAACGGGUGGUCAGCUGCUUUUUUAUGUGUGAGAAUGUCAGGAAUCUUUCUAUAUGUGCCCAGAUUUAUUUGGUGUGCCUGCUAUGUUUCACUUUCACUGCUCUUUGUAUAAAUUGAGAAAUUCUUGAUUCUUUUUAUGUUAUUUCUUUACAUGAAGGAUCCAGAUUAAAAUCUAAUGUGUUAUUCUUGCUGGCUUAGUUUAAACAAAUGCAUUUUAGAUCACCUACUUCUCAGUUCAUGCAUUUUGGAUCCAAAGCCUCCGUUAGAUUUUUGGAUGUGCUCUCUUAGGUAGGUUUUCUUUUCUCUUUCUUUCCUUCCUCUUGGGACUGUUAUUCUCUGUCUGUAUAUAUUUGCUUCGAUUGAAAUAAAGGACCAUGGGGCUUUUGCUCCAUGGUGGGUAGUGGAAAAAAACUAACAUGUAUUUGGUUUAAACUGCUUGAAGUUAACAAGGACCAAGUAACAUACUAUGUGCUUGCUCUGUUUGGUCGUGGCAUAUGAAUCUGAUUAGAUCAUCGUAGUUGAAUAAUUAGAAACCUUGGGGAGGAAUAUGAUGUGUGUUUUUGUUUCAGUUACAGAGACUUGGUCUCGUGUUAUGCCUCAUAAGGUCGAGGCAUGUGUUACGGAGGCUAGGAAGAUUAUUUUGCUGUUGUUGAUUAGUUUUUUUUUGAUAAUGCAAAAACACCUAUGUACUAAUAACCUAUAUACUAAUGUACUAACAAUCGUUUCCUUCUUUUCCAUUGCAGUAAGUAGAAGUUAUAUUUUUUCCCUGACCAUUCCUUUCUUUUCCUAGGCCAGCGAUUUGCUUUCCGCUCAGAUUACGCUGUCUGCAGACUGCAGCCUCCUAUUUGUGACGCCGUGGAACCUAAGGAUUUCCGGCGAUACGCAGUCAGUAGGAGGGGACGUUUUCAUCGAUGACGAGGUGCUUACGGUGACUUCAUAAUUUUCAAGAUGAUAUGUCGGCUCAGUCUUUCGGAGGUGUUCAUAGGGGUAGGGUGUGCGUGUGUGCGUUCAUAGGGAUGAGUAUAUGAGCGCUUGCGUCUGUACUGUGUUAAAAAAAACCUUUUGACCAUUUACUUGUUUAAACCGAAGCAUCAAAAGUACAAUUUGUUUGUACCAUUGUAUACCACAUGAUGAACUCUAGAAAUAGAGUAUAAUAGAGUAUAAUGCUGAAUAUAUUCUCUAUUAUUAAUAUUAUCAAUUCGUGAGACUCA